rnacentral:rRNA from 1 species
GGUUUUUUGAUUAUAAUAAAAAAUUUAACCUGCUCAAUGAAAUAUUAAAUAGCUGCAGUAUAUUGACUGUACAAAGGUAGCAUAAUCAAUAGUUUUUUAAUUGAAAGCUGGAAUGAAUGGUUUGAUGAGAUAAAAUCUUUUUUUAAUUUAAAAAAUUUAGAAUUUUUUUGUUAGUUAAAAAACUAAUAUAUUUUUAAAAGACGAGAAGACCCUAUAGAGUUUAUUAAUUGGGGUGAUUUUUAAAAGUUAAUAAACUUUAAUUUAUUAUAAUUUCAAAAAUUAUUGUAUUUAAAGAUCUUUAAUUUAAAUUACCUUAGGGAUAACAGUGUAA